UGCCCCUCUUCUUUGUGUAUUCGUGCGGCCCUCUUCUCAUAUCUGGUUCUCUCUCUUCUUUUCAGUUGGCUUCUGCUGUUGAUCCGCCUCCUGUUGCCUUUCAUGCAGUGUGUGUGUGUGUGUGUGUGUGUGUGCGUCCGCCCCCCUCCUGAAGUCUCUUGUAUAGAUGUGUCCUCCUCUCGCACUGGAGAAGACAAGCACGUUGCUUUGCUGCGGCGGCGCGCUCUUUCUCAGUGGAGAAGGAAGGGGAGGGGGCGCGCAACGCAGCAUGCCAGCGCACGCGUCGUGUGCCACCACAAGAAGUGGAGGAGGUGGACACACACACACACACACACACAUGCCCCUAGAUGCGCAGAGAGCAAGAGGAAGAGAUGGGAAAGGAAAGGAAAGGGGGGACCCCCAAAAAUCGAGAUCAAUGCAGCUGCAAGAGAAAAGAAGCUAAACCAAGUAGUCGAACAAGUCGACAGAUCUCUCCUCCCACCGCCCCGCUGACUCACAGGUUUGACAACAGUACGAAGCACGUGCGAGAAAUAGAAGACGGCAUGCCUGGCGGCAAGUCACGUAACUGAGCAGCGGAAAAGAGAGACGCUUACACGCGAUAAAAGAAAAACAUGUGCAGGCACUGAACUGACGCGACCUCCCAAAGAACGGAUCGUGAGCUCAGAGCGGGCGGUGGUGGCGAGGGAUGCGCGCAGGCAAUGAUCGCGAAAGGAGAGUGAACGCAGCGAUGUAAAGGCGGCCGAAAACACAAACAAGCGAUAUCGACACGACGACAGAGAGAAAGAGGGAAGGAGGCUGGCGUAAGAAAAGUGCCGCGCGAACAUCCAACCGCGAAGGACGAAAGGAAAGAAGGGUCAGUCACAGACACACACAAGUCUAUAUAUUUCUAUAUAUGUCUGCGUCUAUAUAGUUCACUGUUAUCCCCUUCCCUUUCGCUCCUCUACUUAUUACUUUCUUCUCCCUUCUCCAUUCUUCCGUACAAGAUACUUCCUCACUCUCCCUUGCACUCCCCUUCUCCUGUCUUCUUCCUUCUUUGCUGUCCACUGCUUGCAUCUGCCUACCUUUUUACCACGCUCUUCUCCCUCGUGUUUUACUUCCGUUGUGCGUUUGUUCCACUGGUUCUCCUCCACAGCUGCUCUUGCCUUCAAGAAAACCUUGUUCCCGUGUGCUUGCAUUCUUGUUGUACCUUACACACCUUUGCUGCGGCUCUGUUGCUCUUCGCAUGCUUCCGUGUUCGCUUUACAGCUCAGUGCACUUCGUGCGUCUCUUCUCCCUUUUCCUCCUCCCCCUCCUUCUCUCUCACUGCCUCUCUCACUGCCUCUCUCUUGUUAGCAAACGCGAGGCGGGGGAGCGACAGUGUCAAAUUCAUGUGUAUAAGGUGUGUGUGUGUGUAUGCGAGUGAGCGUGCGUGUGCGAGUCCGCGGAGGAGGCGAGCGACCGCGGGAGCACAGGGAUGUCGAUAGGAAGAAGAGCAACUCCCCCUUCGUUUCGUCUCUGUCUACCCGUCUUUUAGACACACACACACACACCAGCUCACCUCCUCCCCACUCCCUCCCUCAGCUUCCUUCCCCCCGCCGAACCUCCUUUUUAUUGCUUGCUCCACGGCGAUCGCUGUCUCACCGCCGUCCCCCUAUUUUUCUUUUUUGUGCCACUUAGUGUGCGUCUCACGCUCACACACCCCUCAUGCGCAGCGGUUGCAUGCACUUCGACGCAUCCGCUCUCUGGCGAGCGGUGGGCGGACUCUCUGAAGUGAGAAAGGCCAGCGGCACGCAGGCAACGACUCCCCCGCUGUGUGGGAGCUCCCUUGCUCGCUGUGGGCGAAUGGUGCGACACAGACAGAGAACAGGUCGGGAGAGGCCGCGAUGGUUCAUGACGACCAUGCACCCGUCGGCGCAGCGACAGCAGGCUGCGGCCUCCUUGCUUGCCGCUGCCGCGCUGGGCGCGGUGCAAUGGUGCUGGAGCUUGACAUGCUGCGAGGACAACGGGAUCAGAUAGGGCACAGUCAGGUGCAUGUGGUCGCUGCUGCGGGCUCGCCCUCGCCUCCUCAGGGUGGCCGGCACGGGCCCUACAAGGGCUAGGGGGUGGUGUGGCGUGGCAUGAUGCGGCACAUUGGGGCACAGGUGCUGGCGCUGCUGGCCCGUCGCGCGUACCCUUCGCUUCCGCUUGUCGCCGGUGACUGUGUGUUGGGGCAAGAGGACGACGCCGACAAGCUUGCCAAGCCGGCGGGGGCGCUGACGCCAACUGCGUGGAUCGCGGGCCUGGCCGCCGGUCUCAGACGCCAGGCCGACAGCCCACGAAACCGCGCUGCACGGCGCCACGCGCUGCGGCGGGGGCUCCUUGGCGGCCGCGGUCCCGCACGAAUGUGCAGGGAUGCUUGGGCCCACGAGGCGGCGGGAGACCGCGCUUGCCUACUCCCGCGCAGGCGCUUGUCCGGGUGCAUCGGGUUGCUGCGACGACGGGUGGCUGGCGGUGGCGGCGUGGGGCGGGGGCGGUGUUGCUGCCUGCGGCUCCGCUGGCGCUGUGGUGGCCCCCGCCCUCGCCAGAGCCCCGGCCCAGACCUGUUUUGCCAUGUGGGAGACCGAACCGGCAUUGUGGCCGGUACGCUGCGCGGGGUUUGCGGAUCGCUGGCGGCUGAAAGCGCACCCCGUCUGACGCUAUGAUCCUGCGCGCGCUGACCUGAUUGCGCGCGCCUCACUCGCGCGACAUGGGCUGCCCCCUCCCGUGCCUCUGCGGGGGGGGCGCGCGGCGGGUUCCCUGUGCGCUGGUGCGUGCGUGUGCGUGGGCCCCUUUCGCCUGCCACGCGCCCGGCUCCCUCUCAAAGGCGUGCGGGCCGGGGGGUGGGUGGGUGGGGCUCCUCUGCGGCCGCAGGCUGGCGGCAACGCCCCCCCCCUUCUCGUGGUGUCGGCGGGUGCGGGGGCGAAGACAGCGGGCCUGCUAGAAAACGGCGUUGUCUUGGGUCAGGCGCCGGGACGCGGGCGCUGUGCGCACACGCUGUCGGGCACCGCUGGCAUAUGGCGCAUCGCACCCGAACAGGGCAAGAAGAGGCCAGCAGAGCAGGGGCGGUGGGCGAAGGGGGCGCGACGAGAUGCAUGCGAACCGGCCCCGCCGUGCAUGUGCGCGGCGCGUCCGGCGUCUCCCAGGUGGGGCAGUGUGGGCAGACGCGGCGCCGGUGCCGGAGGCGCGCCGAGAACGCCCCGAGUGACACCACGGAGGCCCCCAGACCCCGAUGGAGAGAGCCGCCGCCCCAUGCUAUGGGAUGCCGCGGCGGAUGGAAAAACAUGGCAUGCAUACCGAGCGCAGGGUCUGGGAAGGCCCUGGCCUGCGGCUGGCCGGCUUCCUCGCUGAGCUGAUCCGGCAUGCGCCUGCGCCACCGCCUGGUUACCCGCACGACGGGCGCCACCGCUUCCGCCCUCGAGCAGGAUCCUGGCCGCUGCCCGCGUGAAUCAAGGCGUGUGGUCCGCCCAGGUUCGUCUGGGGCUGAUCGUGCAGUGUGUAUGCGGAGAAGGUACGAGGAAGUACAAGGUAAGCCCGCUAGCCACAUGACCCAUUCGGCUGCCGACGGCUCGCUCUGGUCGACCAGGGUUUAGCUGCAGUGCGACCGAGGCAGGUGAGCCGUGGCUGUGUGCUUGCGUGUGUAUCUGUUGAAGUCUUCGUGGGUGGAGUAUGUGACACGCUGAAAAAAGUAAAUUCGGUUCCUUUUCACUUGGAGUUGCAACCUGGUGAGUCGUUGCUGUCGCUUCACUGUCUCCUAGGAUCUGGUUUCUGUUUCUUGCGUGGGUCUACCUCAAGUCCCUUUCCUUUUUUUCUUCGGGCUCUUUUUUUCGACUUUGUCGCCGAUUGUUCUGCUUCUCUCAUCUCUCCCGUUACGUGACCCUCCUCCUUUCCCUCUCUCUCCCUCCUUCACUCGGGACUCGUCUCUUGUUUGUGUGGGUGCGUGUUGGCGUGCUGCAUGAGCAGCGCACGCAUGUCACCCGGAUGCGCAAUUCUUGUUUUGCUUUCACUCUCUUUCCUUUUCGAGCGCCUCCUCUCUGUUGCUCUUACCGAUGUAUCUGUCUACUCAUGCCUCUGUGAGUUCUGUGCUUGUGCGCGAGUGAGUCUGUGCUUCUACUCUCUCUUUUUCCGUUGUUUCCAGCCUAUGCCUUUUGCCUGUGUCUGUCUAAAAAUGUUUGCGUGGUCGUUCCCUCCUUGGGCGUGUGCUCCGCCGCUGUCUGCUUAGCAGCCGCUUUCUCUGCGCCAGAAACCCGCCCUUUACCGUUUUCAUCUCUCCUCUGCUUGUAUGGUAUCUACCCUCUUCCUCGCUUUAUCGCUGAUGUUCCACGCAAGGGUCCUUGUUCUGUGCGCACCGGUUCACGGCACGUGUACAUGCAUUAGACCACAAAACAGCUGCAGACUUCGAGCUCAGCGAAGCUUGAACGUGGUGUUUCGGGUGCUGUACAAGCUGUACCCACCCUGUAGAGGAGCAGCUGAGGUGUUUGUGUGUGGGUCGUGAGGCGCGGCACAAGCGAAAAACGAAAAAAAAGCAAAAACGAACAACGACAAAGGAAACAGCAAGAGUUUCUCAGCAAGCUGACGCGUAACCUUUUUUUUCUCCAUCUUUCACUCCCUCCUCGAUCACACACGGCAGCAAGCAUCGAUGGACUCGUCGUGUGAUGGAUAACGCCAUGCACGAGUGAUGGUCUUUUACGUGUAUGUAUGUAUGACGCAUAUGCGUUUUCAUAUGCGUCUGUGUCUGUCUCUGUGUGCUCUCUUUUCCUUAUAUAUAUAUAUUUGUUUCCGCCUUGCUUGUUUCAUCAUCAUCUUCGCGAUUAUGUAUGUGUAGAGGUAUGUGCGUAUGCGUGUGCGUGUUUGUGUGUCUGUCUGUCCUGUGUAUGUAUGUGUGUGUGUCUGUCUGCCCUGUGUAUGUAUGCGUGUGUGUGCGUGUGUGCAUGUCUGCCCUGUGUUUUUAUUCUUCUCUUAUGUGUUGCUUCUCCGUUCAGCAAAAUUGACAUGUGUGUGUUGCGGUGUGGCCCUUUUCAGAGCUUCCUGGUUGAUAUCUGUGGAGGUCUGCCUGCGUGUGGGUCUUUCAGUGCCGUGCUGCAGAGUUCAUCGGCGCCCCUUCCCUCCCCCCUCCGUCUCUCUCCCAGUCUUGCCCAUCUAAGCCCCCCUCUUUGCUUCCGGCUGCGAUCUUCUAUUUUCUCUGUGUUUCUCUUCCUCUUACGUUUAUGUUUGACGGGGCUCUCGGUGCAUCUUUUCUCCCCCUCCUCUUCUCUGUGUCUCCGAUCCUGCGGUAACCAGACAAAGAGGAUGUGGGGGGGGGGUGGUGGGCGAGCGAGAGAGAUGCGCGGAGGUGACGAGGAAGGGAAGGGGUGGGGCCGGGACUUUCUCGACCAGGAGACAAGCUCAAAACACCACGGACUCGGCGAAACACGCGAUUGAUGCAAAAUUAAAAAAAAAGAAAGAGGCGAAGGGGGGAGCCCGCAUCGCAUCCCCUUACCCUCCUUUCCUCUCCAGCGUAUCCCUGAGGAGCGGGUUGGGGGGGGUGCCUGCCUGCGUGUUGGGGUUGCAUCUGCCUCCUUGUAGCUCUCCCCUUCUACCUCUCUGUGUUGGUCUCUUAAUGCGAGUAUGUGAUUGUGCGCUUGAGUGGGGGGGGUAAGCAUGAAUCUGCGCUUAUCUGCGGAUGUAUGAAGGAACGGGCGGAGAGCAGAGGAAGAACUCUUGUAGAGACGCUGAGGUGUCAGAGCCGCACGCACACGAGGAGAGGAGAGAGAGUGCAAGCACGUAGGCGCCCUGCUUGUGUGAUUGUUCUGUGCCACGCCGCUGUGUGUGUGUGUGUGCGGGGUCACAAUGUCUUUAUCUUUUGGUUUCAUCUUCGUAAUGUUGUUGUCGCCACCCCAGCGCUGUUGGGCCUUGCGCGUUGUAGUAUUAGUCGGUGUCUCUCUGUCUUUCUCACAUCGCCGCCUUCCUCUCUUUUCAGCGAUGACGGGGAUUUGUAGGGGGGGGGUGGCGGCGAAGAGGCUGGUGGGUCGGAGGAGGUAUGUGAAGCCCGCCUUUGAAAGAGACCAAAGGGAAACGGUGCGCGGUGUCCAGAGGACAGUAACGCCACCGGGUUCCCAGGGGUGUUAUGCGUGUAACAGGGAUGCUGAGACGGGGAUGUGAAGCGGAGUGCAGAGGUCUGUUUUUUUUUUAUUUUUUUUUUUAUAUUUUCCUCGUUCGCUUCCCCUCUUCCUCGCGCCUUCCCUUUACGCCAUCCACGCACCCACCCCUCUCUCGUAUUCCUCUCGCACCUGUGCCGUCUCUGGCGGCAUCCUUUCUGUUUCUCUUUUUUUGCUUCUGAGCUGUGUGUGAGAUCCCACCGUCGACCGCGAUGGUCGCGUUUGUUCGCCGUCGCGCUGUCGGUGUGCCUCUCCCUCCCCGCUCCACGUUGUGCGUUGUCGCUUCCCUUGACUGCGUCUCUGUUUUUUUUCCACGAUGCUUUUGAGCCACCACCUUUUUUUAAAACUUAGGUGUGGUGUCUUGUGUCUACGUCUUCUUUGCCCCUCUUCUCUGUAUGUGCGUGCGUGUCUGUGCCGUAUCACGCCGUCGCGAUGGGGGGGGGAAGGAGGGAGCUGGGCUGUAAGAGGGGGAAGGAGGGGGUGGCAGCCGGCCACGACAUCUUCCACCCUCUCUCUCCUUCUUUUAUCCCCCCCUCCUCCCUCCCCUAUCCUCCUUUGAUUCUCUCGCCUGGGUCUAUCUAUAUCAACAUAUCAACAUACCUAUAUAUAUAUAUGUGUGUAUAUGUGUGCUUCUACUGCGCCUUUCCUCCAUCUCGUUUCGAACCACGCACCCACGCACGCACACCCGCUCGCUCAUCUCCUCGCAUCCCCAAUGUUUUCUGUCGUCUCUUAUUUUCUUCUUUGCCUUGUUUUGUUGAUUUCCUCUUCCCUUUCGUGUUGGCACUCCCCUUUCUACUCCUUCUUCACCCCGUGCGACAGAGUCUCUUCUCUUUGCCGUCAACGUGUGCAUCUCCGGCCUCACUGAUACUCACAUGCGUCAUCAAACACACAUGCCUGCACAGCUCCGCCUAGUCCAGUCGAUCUCUUCCUAUCCUUCCCUUUUCCCGCCAACACUCACUUGCACAUGCUUUCCUUCUUCUUGUCUCUCUCGCGAGAAUGGUAACACAGAGACACACACGAGGCAACAGACACCAGUUGUGUCCUUCUUUGUUUCUUCGUCCUGCGCUUCCGGCUUCCUCCUUUUCUCUUUCCUCAUUGUGAUUGUCGUCGGCAUCGCCCAACAGUUCGCGCUUUCUGUCUCUCCCUCUCUCCCCCUUGUGCACGACAUCGAGUGUCCCACCUCUCACAUCCCCUCCCGUUGAGUACACGCAGCUGUUUUGUUCUUCGCUUUUUUUUUUGAUAUAUUUAUUUACGCCUUUGUUUUCCGAGUUACACCUCUGCAAGCGCUUCUUUGUUUGCUUUCUGUUUUCGGGUAUGGUUUCACCUCUAUGUCUUGCUUCGUAUCUCUUUGUGUGUGCGUGCGUGUGUGCGUGUGUACGUGUGUGGGCGUUGCAGGCAGGCGGCCGCGUCCUUAAAAAAUGUUUCUGUUUUCGAUUCGGUUUCGUUUCUUUGUCUCUCCUCCUCCUUUUCCUUGUUUGUCUGGUUCUUGUCGGUGUUGCACGCUGUGAGCGCUGUUUUCUCUCCAUCUGUCUAUGUCUGUGCCUCUCUCUCUCCGCCGGUGUGUGUGCGUGUGCCACUCGAUCCGGCAUCCCUGACGUCUCUCUGUUUUCUUUUCCGUUUUGGGACUCUCGCGUUGUUCCCUCUUCCUUGUUUUCCCUCCCCAAAGUAACCUAUCUCUCAUCUCUAUGUGCUCUUCUAUCAUCAUGUUUUUUUUUUUUAACAUAGACGUACAUGCGCUCACGAAGUCUUCUAGUUGCCUAUCCAUCUCCCUCCAUCUCUCCCCUUUCUCUACUGUGUGUGCCUCUCUACCUCGAUCUGCGUUGGGUCUGUCUGUGUUUCCAUGUCUUUGUCUGCAUGUGUGUAGGUGUCGUUAUUUGUAUCUGUGUCUCUAUUUAUUUCGUUUCGUUCAUCACUGUCUGCCUGUCGGUUUCUCGCAGCACGACGCCAUCCUCACCUCCCUCUCCCCACACACACUCUCUCGCGUGCGGACUAUUCCGCCAUCAUGCGUAAUCCUGUCUGCGUGUGUGUGUAUGUAGGGUGCUGCCGGAAUCGACAUGGGAAAGAAACAAG
rnacentral:misc_RNA from 1 species